AUUGAACGCUGGCGGCAGGCCUAACACAUGCAAGUCGAGCGAGCGGCGGACGGGUGAGUAAUGUAUGGGGAUAUGCCCGAUAGAGGGGGAUAACUACUGGAAACGGAGGCUAAUACAGCAUAAUAUCGGAUGAACCCAUAGGGGAUUAGCUAGUAGGUGGGGUAAAGGCGCACCUCGGCGACGCUCUAUAGCUGUUCUGCGAGGAUGAUAAGCCACAAUGGGACUGAGACACGGCCCAGACUCCUACGGGAGGCAGCAGUGGGGAAGAUUGCACAAUGGGCGAAAGCCUGAUGCAGCCAUGCCGCGUGUAUGAAGAAGGCCUUAGGGUUGUAAAGUACGUUCAGCGGGGAGGCGUUACCCGCAGAAGAAGCACCGGCUAACUCCGUGCCAGCAGCCGCGGUAAUUC
rnacentral:rRNA from 1 species